rnacentral:rRNA from 1 species
UACGAAGGGGGCUAGCGUUGCUCGGAAUUACUGGGCGUAAAGGGUGCGUAGGUGGUUAAAUAAGUUAUCUGUGAAAUCCCUGGGCUUAACCUGGGCAGGUCAGAUAAUACUGUAUAACUCGAGUAUGGGAGAGGGUAGUGGAAUUUCCGGUGUAGCGGUGAAAUACGUAGAGAUCGGAAGGAACACCAGUGGCGAAGGCGGCUACCUGGCCUAAUACUGACACUGAGGCACGAAAGCGUGGGGAGCAAACAGG